GAUGAACGCUGGCGGCGUGCCUAAUACAUGCAAGUCGAGCGAACGGACGAGGAGCUUGCUCCUCUGACGUUAGCGGCGGACGGGUGAGUAACACGUGGAUAACCUACCUAUAAGACUGGGAUAACUUCGGGAAACCGGAGCUAAUACCGGAUAAUAUAUUGAACCGCAUGGUUCAAUAGUGAAAGACGGUUUUGCUGUCACUUAUAGAUGGAUCCGCGCCGCAUUAGCUAGUUGGUAAGGUAACGGCUUACCAAGGCAACGAUGCGUAGCCGACCUGAGAGGGUGAUCGGCCACACUGGAACUGAGACACGGUCCAGACUCCUACGGGAGGCAGCAGUAGGGAAUCUUCCGCAAUGGGCGAAAGCCUGACGGAGCAACGCCGCGUGAGUGAUGAAGGUCUUCGGAUCGUAAAACUCUGUUAUUAGGGAAGAACAAAUGUGUAAGUAACUAUGCACGUCUCGACGGUACCUAAUCAGAAAGCCACGGCUAACUACGUG
rnacentral:rRNA from 1 species